UGCGAAAGCGUAGGGAAAGAAGCGAGGGGAUCUGGGGAAAAACCGCACGUUAUGCUUUGCAUGGAUAGAGAUUUUCUAACCCUGUUUGAACUGUCAAGCUCCAUUUCAAACAAGCUAUAUAACUUUGUCAGCAGAGAAACGUAUUAACCCAACGCCCAGCAUGCCCUGGCACAAUUUCAUAACCUUUCAGUGGCGACAAUGAUGCACAUCCUGUUCCCAUGGAGUAACAGAUCUUUCUGAAUGAGUUCUUUUGCUCGCCUCUUGCAGUUGCUGGGAGCAAAUUGCUGGUAAACAAAAUCGACUCGUCAACCGUUACCCCGCACGACGAGGGAUGAGCAGGUAUAGGUCGUCUGCCUCUUCAUGGCGUGCACCAAAUCGGUAACAGGAGCGCGUCGUUGCAUGGAAUGCAUGUCGUGCACAGGAAAGCCGUCACGCGUGCGUCAGCUGGUUCAUGGCCAUAAAGAGCACCAAGAUUCGGAGCUUGCCAUCAUUCGCAGAAGACCGCCAGAGUGUUUUAAACGCUUAACUAAUGCUACAUUCAAAUUUCUACUGUCGCACAGUUGAUAUCGACCGUAUGCAAACGACACAAUAGUGCACGGCACGGUACUGAGACGUGACACGGCUUUGUACCCAACAGCGGACAGCUUCCCGGGCGCCUGCAGUAUUCUCUUGGGCGCCAUCUGCUCGAUAGCUCGCAGCGCGUAGAAUAUAAUAGCUGCGACGCGGCACCAGAAGGCACCGCAAGAAGAUAUGUCGGCGCCUCUAGACAUGCACGUCGAUAUACAUCAUAACAUAGAGACACUAAAACACUAAAAACUAAUUUUAUAAUAACAAACGAGACAGUUAUAAACAAUAAUUCAGUUACUUUACACAACAGUCAACACGCCUUAGCACGACCAGAGCACUUCCACGGCCAUGGCCGCCAAAGCCGUCGACACACACACAGGCGACCCGAAACCAGCUUCGGCAGCUCGCUCAACACGGCUGCAGCGACCAUAGCGCCACCAAGCAC
rnacentral:lncRNA from 1 species